rnacentral:rRNA from 1 species
AGCGAACGCUGGCGGCAGGCCUAACACAUGCAAGUCGAGCGGCCGUAGCAAUACGGCAGCGGCAGACGGGAUAGUAACACGUGGGAACGCGCCCUUCGGUUCGGAAUAACUCAGGGAAACUUGAGCUAAUACCGGAUACGCCCUUACGGGAAAGGAUUUAUUGCCGAAGGAACGGCCCGCGUCCGAUUAGCUAGUUGGUGAGGUAAUGGCUCACCAAGGCAACGAUCGGUAGCUGGUCGAGAGGACCGAUCAGCCACACUGGACUGAGACACGGCCCAGACUCCUACGGGAGGCAGCAGUGGGGAAUCUU